GAUGAAGAACGCAGCGAAAUGCGAUAAGUAAUGUGAAUUGCAGAAUUCAGUGAAUCAUCGAAUCUUUGAACGCACCUUGCACUCCUUGGUAUUCCGAGGAGUACGCCUGUUCGAGUGUUAUGAAGCUCUCAAAACGCAAUUGGCUUAAAACCUGAUUGUUGUUUUGGAUUUGAACUUUGCCGUGUUAUAACGGCUGGUUUUAAAAGUAUUAGCUGGUACUAGAACGAAUUGGUUCUACUCAACGUGAUAAUUAUCUGAUCGUUGAGGACAUUCCUUUCACGAGGAAUGGCCAUAGUAAAUUCAAUGGACUGCUUCUAAUCUGGCUUUAAUUCUUUAUUGGAUUAACCACUUUUCAAAUCUGACCUCGAAUCAGGUGGGACUACCCGCUGAACUUAAGCAUAUCAAUACGCGGAGGA
rnacentral:misc_RNA from 1 species